GCUAAGGGACAAGGGAAGUUAGAGUUGAUGCCUUGUGAUGUGGUGAAAAUAUCCCGAAUCUUGGAUCGAGAGGCCUGAGUUCAUUUCACAGCUUGUGCAGAAAGCAAUGAUCAUUGCCAAAGCCGUGUUGCCCGUGGACAGGGUGAUGUUUGACUUCCUUGUACAGCUGCAAUUUGAAUGGUGAAGGCGC